AGAAGCUCUUGCGGUGUGUUUUUCGGGUGCUAUUUGUUUUGACAGCGUAACUCACCCUACCUUGCCCGACUCUUCCUCACUCAGGUGAGGGACUCCGUGAGCAGAUGAACAGGCUCUUGGGUCACUCUGACAGUUACCACCCCACCGAAGAUGUCCUCCAGAUGCUUUUAUUUUUAGGGGCCACCCCCGGGCUCUGCUGCACAGCGCUCAGCAGUGAAUGGUAGAAUCCAUUGCCAGACGUCUGCAGCUUAGACCUCCCUCCCGCCUGCUGCCCGCUAAUCUCACUGGCUUUGUGUGUCAUGGCCCAGGGCGGCCCGUGGACAGGACAGUCGUCUCUUUAGGUGUGGUCAGCCCCUGUGACCCACGUGCGCCACCUGAUUUUACCAGUGGAUUUUCACCGUGAAGUCCUUUCUCCUGUCCCCGGGUGGAGCUCGGAUGCACACAACAGGAAGCAAGGGUUUGUUUUGCUUGCUCUUUUCACGUCAAAGUCAUAUAAAGAGAAGGUAAAGCCUUUUAAGGGAAUACCAGCGUGAUCAAUAACAGACCUUCAGCAUAAAAACAGAAAAGAGAAGCGUGAGCUGUUCUGAGCCCCUGACGUCCAACACCUGUUUGGUUCCAUGUGUGUUAGAAACAAGCAUUUUUCUUCAUGUUUCCAUUUUGUAUGCCGUCGCAUCCAGGUUCUAG
rnacentral:lncRNA from 1 species